UGGGGAAUCUUGGACAAUGGGGGAAACCCUGAUCCAGCGAUGCCGCGUGAGUGAUGAAGGCCUUCGGGUUGUAAAACUCUUUCGACGGGGACGAUAAUGACGGUACCCGUAGAAGAAGCUCCGGCUAACUUCGUGCCAGCAGCCGCGGUAAUACGAAGGGGGCUAGCGUUGUUCGGAAUUACUGGGCGUAAAGCGUGCGCAGGCGGCCAUUCAAGUCAGGGGUGAAAGCCCAGAGCUCAACUCUGGAACUGCCCUUGAAACUGUAUGGCUUGAGUAUGAGAGAGGUGAGUGGAAUUCCCAGUGUAGAGGUGAAAUUCGUAGAUAUUGGGAAGAACACCGGUGGCGAAGGCGGCUCACUGGCUCAUAACUGACGCUCAUGCACGACAGCGUGGGGAUCAAACAGGAUUAGAUACCCCUGUAGUCC
rnacentral:rRNA from 1 species